rnacentral:rRNA from 1 species
CCUACGGGAGGCAGCAGUGAGGAAUAUUGGUCAAUGGGCGCGAGCCUGAACCAGCCAAGUCGCGUGAGGGAAGACGGUCCUAUGGAUUGUAAACCUCUUUUGUCGGGGAGCAAAAGACGCCACGCGUGGCGUUCCGAGAGUACCCGAAGAAAAAGCAUCGGCUAACUCCGUGCCAGCAGCCGCGGUAAUACGGAGGAUGCGAGCGUUAUCCGGAUUUAUUGGGUUUAAAGGGUGCGCAGGCGGAAGAUCAAGUCAGCGGUAAAAUUGAGGGGCUCAACCUCUUCGAGCCGUUGAAACUGGUUGUCUUGAGUGGGUGAGAAGUAUGCGGAAUGCGUGGUGUAGCGGUGAAAUGCAUAGAUAUCGCGCAGAACUCCGAUUGCGAAGGCAGCAUACCGGCGCUCAACUGACGCUCAUGCACGAAAGUGUGGGUAUCGAACAGGAUUAGAUACCCCAGUAGUC